rnacentral:rRNA from 1 species
UUUCCCCCCUGGGCCAAGACUGACGCUCAGGUGCGAAAGCGUGGGGAGCAAACAGGAUUAGAUACCCUGGUAGUCCACGCCGUAAACGAUGUCGACUUGGAGGUUGUGCCCUUGAGGCGUGGCUUCCGGAGCUAACGCGUUAAGUCGACCGCCUGGGGAGUACGGCCGCAAGGUUAAAACUCAAAUGAAUUGACGGGGGCCCGCACAAGCGGUGGAGCAUGUGGUUUAAUUCGAUGCAACGCGAAGAACCUUACCUGGUCUUGACAUCCACAGAACUUUCCAGAGAUGGAUUGGUGCCUUCGGGAACUGUGAGACAGGUGCUGCAUGGCUGUCGUCAGCUCGUGUUGUGAAAUGUGGGUUAAGUGCUCCCCCCGUCGCAC